rnacentral:misc_RNA from 1 species
GAGAAAGCUAAAUUGUUCAAAGAGAACAAUGAUAAAAGGAACGCAAAACCAGAAAAAUCAAGAGUGGAGGAGGAGAACAAGUACUUGUAAGUUCUUUCUUGAAAUUGCAACUUCUUUCUUUUUUCAAGUGAAUUGAAAUUUAUUAAUGAGAAAAUGCAUACAGUAUAUUUGCAUUACUCUGCAUGGAAAAAAAAACUGCAGAAAAAGCAGACCUACAGCACACGGUUCAACAGAAUAAAACAAAUCCAUAACUAAAAAGAUGAAUUCAGCAGCACUAAGUGCUAAGCCAGCCAGCAAAUGUAGAGGCCAUUAUGUGAUAGUAAAAGGUAUACAUUGAUGAUUGUUUUGACAUAUCCAUUCAUUAAGACACUGAUAAAUAAUCAUAUGGAAUAUGGAUAGUAAAGCUACUCUUUACAAAAGUGGUUAUUAAUCAAAUGGCUCUUCUUCUUAUAUUUUUUCCUUGUUAUGGAAUGUCAACUUUGUA